UACGUAGGGUGCAAGCGUUGUCCGGAAUUAUUGGGCGUAAAGAGCUUGUAGGCGGUUUGUCGCGUCUGCUGUGAAAUUUCGGGGCUCAACCCCGAACUUGCAGUGGGUACGGGCAGACUAGAGUGUGGUAGGGGAGACUGGAAUUCCUGGUGUAGCGGUGAAAUGCGCAGAUAUCAGGAGGAACACCGGUGGCGAAGGCGGGUCUCUGGGCCGAUACUGACGCUGAGGAGCGAAAGCGUGGGGAGCGAACGGG
rnacentral:rRNA from 1 species